AGUAAAACCUCAAUAAAU
rnacentral:snRNA from 1 species